AGAGUUUGAUCCUGGCUCAGAACGAACGCUUGCGGCAUGCUUAAAACAUGCAAGUCGAACGAGAAAGUGGCUUCGGCCAUGAGUAGAGUGGCGCACGGGUGAGUAACACGUAGCUAACGUCCCUCUUCGCUGGGGAUAACCUCGGGAAACCGAGGCUAAUACCGAAUGAUCUGAUGUGGUCCUUGGACUGUGUCGGUAAAGCCUUCGGGCGCGAGGAGAUCGGGUUGCGUCCCAUAGCUAGUUGGUAGGGUAACGGCCUACCAAGGCUACGAUGGGUAGCUGGUCUGAGAGGAUGAUCAGCCACACUGGAACUGAAACACGGUCCAGACUCCCACGGGAGGCAGCAGUUGGGAAUAUUGGACAAUGGGGGAAACCCUGAUCCAGCAAUGCCGCGUGAAUGAUGAAGGCCUUCGGGUCGUAAAGUUCUUUUAGCAGGGAAGAAGGGAAACUUGACUGUACCUGCAGAAAAAGCACCGGCUAACUCCGUGCCAGCAGCCGCGGUAAUACGGAGGGUGCAAGCGUUGUUCGGAAUUAUUGGGCGUAAAGCGCGUGUAGGCGGCCUGAUAAGUCUGGUGUGAAAGCCCGGGGCUUAACCCCGGAAGUGCACUGGAUACUAUCUAGCUAGAGGGUCGGAGAGGGAAGCGGAAUUCUUGGUGUAGGGGUGAAAUCCGUAGAUAUCAAGAGGAACACCGAUGGCGAAGGCAGCUUCCUGGCCGACAUCUGACGCUGAGACGCGAAAGCGUGGGUAGCAAACAGGAUUAGAUACCCUGGUAGUCCACGCCCUAAACGAUGGAUACUAGGUGUUGGAGUCCCUAAUAGCUUCAGUAUCGUAGCUAACGCGUUAAGUAUCCCGCCUGGGAAGUACGGUCGCGAGAUUAAAACUCAAAGGAAUUGACGGGGGCCCGCACAAGCGGUGGAGCAUGUGGUUUAAUUCGAUGCUACGCGAAAAACCUUACCUAGGCUUGACAUCCUGCGCUACCCUAUGAAAGUAGGGGUUCCCUCACGGGACGCAGUGACAGGUGCUGCAUGGCUGUCGUCAGCUCGUGUUGUGAGAUGUUGGGUUAAGUCCCGCAACGAGCGCAACCCUCGCCGUUAGUUACCAUCAUUAAGUUGGGCACUCUAACGGAACCGCUUGGCUAUAAGCCAGAGGAAGGUGGGGAUGACGUCAAGUCCUCAUGGCCUUUAUGUCUAGGGCUACACACGUGCUACAAUGGGGAGGACAAAGCGCUGCUACUUCGCGAGAAGAUGCUAAUCGCAAAAACCUUUCCUCAGUUCGGAUUGGAGUCUGCAACUCGACUCCAUGAAGCUGGAAUCGCUAGUAAUCGUGGAUCAGAACGCCACGGUGAAUACGUUCCCGGGCCUCGUACACACCGCCCGUCUCACCAUGGGAGUUGGUUUUACCGGAAAACGUUGAGCUAACCGUAAGGAGGCAGACGUUAUGGUAGGCCCGAUGACUGGGGUGAAGUCGUAACAAGGUA
rnacentral:rRNA from 1 species